rnacentral:sRNA from 1 species
AAUAUUGAGUGAAAGAAGCCAGACGCAAAAGAGUACAUUGUAUGAUUCCGUUCAUAUAAAGUUCAAAAACUAAAACCAGUUUGGAAGUCAGGGUAGUGGUUACCAUUGGGAGGCUGGGUAGUGACUGAAAGGGAGCACAAGAUGGGGCUUUUGGUAUGUGGAUAAUGUUCUGUUUCUUCCUCUGGGUGCUGGUUACACAGGUGUGUGUUCAUUUUGUGAAAAAAGUUCAAACUAUACACUUAGGAUUUGUAUACUUUUUUGUAUCUACAUUAUACUUCACAAAAAAUUUUUAAAUGAUAUUGACUGUGAACUGGCUUGAUUUCAACCUUUGCUAAGAUUGCGAUUUAUUUUUCUUCAAAGGUGCCAAUGUUAACAGGGCUACGGCCAAUAAUGAUCAUACAGUAGUGUCGCUGGCAUGUGCAGGAGGCCACCUGGCAGUUGUUGAGCUUCUCUUGGCUCAUGGGGCUGACCCUACUCAUCGACUCAAGGAUGGUUCAACAAUGCUCAUUGAAGCUGCAAAGGGUGGCCAUACUAAUGUAGUUUCUUAUCUGUUGGAUUAUCCAAAUAAUGUUCUGUCAGUUCCCACCACAGAUGUGUCUCAGCUCCCUCCACCUUCUCAAGAUCAGUCUCAGGUAAAAUAAAAUGGAGCUUGUUUGUUAAUAUAAAUAUUCUUCAACGUGAUUAGAAGUUUUUGUUUAAAAUCAGUUUUAAGCAAAAUGGACUUGUUUUUAUUUUCUGUUACAUAUUGAGAAAAUCAUGAUUCUAAAUGCUUCAGGAUUUAUUUUCUUUAAAGGUACACUGAAAUUUGUUAUUGCCUUAUUUAUUGAGAAUAGUGGUUUUUAAAAACCACUUAAUAUCAAAUAUAAAUGUAAGUAUUCUAAGUUGUUAUCUUAUUACAACUAGGUUUUUCAGGGUUUUUUAUUUGUUUUUUAAAAAGAGAAUCAAGAGAAAGCUUUUUCUUUUUUCUUUUGUUUU